AGAGUUUGAUCCUGGCUCAGGAUGAACGCUAGCGGGAGGCUUAACACAUGCAAGUCGUACGGUACUUUCGGUUUCGGCCGGGAACGAGUGGCGGACGGGUGAGUAACGCGUAUGCAACCUGCCUUAUGCAGGGGGAUAGCCCAUGGAAACGUGGAUUAAUACCCCAUAUCAUAUAGAUACUGCCUGGUAUUUAUAUAAAAGCUACGGUGGCAUAAGAUGGGCAUGCGUCUGAUUAGUUAGUUGGUAAGGUAACGGCUUACCAAGACUACGAUCAGUAGGGGUCCUGAGAGGGUUAUCCCCCACACUGGUACUGAGACACGGACCAGACUCCUACGGGAGGCAGCAGUGAGAAAUAUUGGUCAAUGGCCGCGAGGCUGAACCAGCCAUCCCGCGUGCAGGAUGACAGCCCUAUGGGUUGUAAACUGCUUUUCUUCGAGAAGAAAUCCCCUGACGUGUCAGGGGUUGCCGGUAUCGAAGGAAUAAGCAUCGGCUAACUCCGUGCCAGCAGCCGCGGUAAUACGGAGGAUGCAAGUGUUAUCCGGAUUCAUUGGGUUUAAAGGGUGCGCAGGCGGGGAUGUAAGUCAGUGGUGAAAAGCUGCCGCUUAACGGUAGUCUUGCCAAUGAUACUGCAUCUCUUGAGUAUGGUUAAGGUAGGCGGAAUGUGCAGUGUAGCGGUGAAAUGCAUAGAUAUUGCACAGAACGCCGAUUGCGAAGGCAGCUUACUGAGCCAUAACUGACGCUGAGGCACGAAAGCGUGGGGAGCGAACAGGAUUAGAUACCCUGGUAGUCCACGCUGUAAACGAUGUUCACUCGCUGUUUGCGAUACACAGUAAGCGGCUUAGCGAAAGCAUUAAGUGAACCACCUGGGGAGUACGAUCGCAAGUUUGAAACUCAAAGGAAUUGACGGGGGCCCGCACAAGCGGAGGAACAUGUGGUUUAAUUCGAUGAUACGCGAGGAACCUUACCUGGGCUUAAAUGUAGGCUGCAUUUCUGAGAAAUCGGGAUUUCCUUCGGGACUGCUUACAAGGUGCUGCAUGGUUGUCGUCAGCUCGUGCCGUGAGGUGUCGGGUUAAGUCCCAUAACGAGCGCAACCCUUACCGUUAGUUGCCAUCAGGUAAAGCUGGGGACUCUGGCGGGACUGCCACCGUAAGGUGAGAGGAAGGUGGGGAUGACGUCAAAUCAGCACGGCCCUUAUGUCCAGGGCUACACACGUGUUACAAUGGUCGGUACAAAGGGCAGCUACCCUGCGAAGGGAUGCUAAUCCUGAAAGCCGGUCCCAGUUCGGAUUGGAGUCUGCAACCCGACUCCAUGAAGUUGGAUUCGCUAGUAAUCGCGCAUCAGCCAUGGCGCGGUGAAUACGUUCCCGGGCCUUGUACACACCGCCCGUCAAACCAUGGGAGCUGGGGGUGCCUGAAGUCUGUGAUCCCGACUUGUCGGGAAGCGGCCUAGGGUAAAACCAGUGACUGGGGUUAAGUCGGAACAAGGUA
rnacentral:rRNA from 1 species